CGCUACCGAGGGCCUCCUGCUCCCUCGGCCGCGUCAGCUGUCGCUUUCCUAUCGUACGCUCUGCGCCUUCACGUUUCGUUGGCAAUUCAAGCGCGCUCCCAGCACCGCGCGCACACGGGUGCACGCACGCUCAGCGUGUUUUGCACGGUGUGUACACACUUGGCGUGCUCCUGCUGAAAGCCCCCACGCUGCACGUCAAAGCUGCGGCCCAACCUGUCCUGGCCCGGCCUCCCGCCUCGCCGACCCGGCCUCCGGCGCGAGCUUCUCCUCCUCCUCGCUGGUCACCCCUCCUCGCGCACGGAAGUGCGCCGCGGGAAGAAAAGCGCCACCCUUAGGUCCUGGGAGGCGAACUGCCCGGCAGUUCAGAAAGAAAACCUUUCACCACAGUCUUGUGAGGGCCAAAUAACAUUCUGUUGUCUAGAAGUACCAGAGUUUAUCCAUCCACCUACUGAAGAACAUCUUGGAUGUUUCCAAGUUUUGGCAAUAAAAGUACUGCUAUAAAGACCCAGCUGCAAGUUUUUACAUGGACAUAAGUGUUCGACUCAUUUGGAUAAAUACUAAGGACCACAGUUUCUGGAUUGUAUGAAAAACACAGAUUUAUACAACACAAAACACUCCCUCCAGCCUGAGUUGGCUGAUCAAGUUGAUGACCACAUCUGCCUCUAAACUGGAAUUUGGUUGCUGAUCCAGUAGUCCAUCUAGAGGUGUCUCUGUGGGCUUCUCUCUGCCAUUAAACUUUUGGUGGCAAUUUGGAGAAAUAUUCAAUGAAAAUAUCUUCAACAAAGAGUGAAGAAAACUCUGGAGGGAAUGUGGAACACUAAAAGGUGGGUUCAAACCUCAGCCAUUAAGCCUCUUACCUUCUUUAUCAGUAAAGAUAUCUGUAACUAAUUCAACAUUGUAUUAAAGAGGGAAUUCCCUGCAGUCCAGUGGCUAGGAUUGCUUCCACUGCUGGGGGCCUAGGUUCAAUCCAGGGUCAGGGAACCAAGAUCCUACAAGCUGCAGGGUAAGGCCAAAAAAACACCCUAAACAACCCAAUAUUGUAUUAAACAAGAUGAUACAUUACAAAGAAAAAGUUUAUAGAAUAGUGCCCAACUCAAAGUUCUUAAUUCUAUGACAUUGGACAUGAUAUUUUUUCCUAACUAUUGAUAUUCAUAUAGCACCUUUAAUCCAGAUAAUUCAGGAUGCCAGGUCGCUAAAUGAUGAGCAGAAACCUUAAUGUUUACAAACAUACUAAAUGAAACAAAAGAAUAUAAAACAAAACAAACAAAAUUUCAUCCUGAGAAUAUCCCAUUCUAGCAUUUGCCUUGCAAACGGAUACAUUUCUGAGUUCAAAUUCAUCCUACAUCAGUGCAGUUCAACAUAUUUUAAGUGUCUAGUUGAUGUCACACAGGCAGUUAUAGAAGACAGAGUUUCUCACUUUCAGGAGGCACAGUCUAAAAGGGAAAUAUUAAAAUGUAAUGUGAUGUUCAAUGCAUGGAAGAAUAUAUAAAGUGCUAUAGGAACACAGAUGAAGAAGGAGUUACAGUUGCUUGGUCUGAGGGGAGGGUAAGAAGCCUUAAGGAGUUACCUAGGGAAAGUGACAUUUAAACCAGACCUAAAAGGAGUGGAAGUCAGCCAGAUAGAACAGGCGGAGGGAACAGCAAGUAUACAAAUUCAUAGAGACAACUGGGAAGACAAAGAAUGCAAACCACUGCAAAGAACGUGCGCAAAACAGGACUCUUCAAAGAAAAUAGGCUAAGUUUUAG